rnacentral:misc_RNA from 1 species
AAGUCGUAACAAGGUUUCCGUAGGUGAACCUGCGGAAGGAUCAUUACAAAUCCCCAAAAAUACCCGUUGAAAUGUUUUCGGCCUUGGGGUAUAGGAUUGAAGCGAGACGCCCACGGGUAGUAGUAGCCGAAUGAUCUUAUACUAACGAUCACGAAUCAGUGAUUAAUAAACCAAGGUUCGACUUAAUGACUUUUACUUAGACAUCUUGUACCACCUUAUCGUUAAAUCGAUAAAACAAAUACAACUUUUAACAAUGGAUCUCUAGGCUCUU